GAUGAACGCUGGCGGCGUGCUUAACACAUGCAAGUCGAACGAAGCACUUAAGUUUGAUUCUUCGGAUGAAGACUUUUGUGACUGAGUGGCGGACGGGUGAGUAACGCGUGGGUAACCUGCCUCAUACAGGGGGAUAACAGUUAGAAAUGGCUGCUAAUACCGCAUAAGACCACAGCACCGCAUGGUGCAGGGGUAAAAACUCCGGUGGUAUGAGAUGGACCCGCGUCUGAUUAGCUGGUUGGUGGGGUAACGGCCUACCAAGGCGACGAUCAGUAGCCGACCUGAGAGGGUGACCGGCCACAUUGGGACUGAGACACGGCCCAAACUCCUACGGGAGGCAGCAGUGGGGAAUAUUGCACAAUGGGGGAAACCCUGAUGCAGCGACGCCGCGUGAAGGAUGAAGUAUUUCGGUAUGUAAACUUCUAUCAGCAGGGAAGAAAAUGACGG
rnacentral:rRNA from 1 species